UGCGUAGGCGGCCCCGUGUGUCAGAGGUGAAAUCCCACGGCUCAACCGUGGAAUUGCCUUUGAAACUGCGAGGCUUGAGUCCGAGAGGGGAAGGUGGAAUUCCUGGUGUAACGGUGAAAUGUGCAGAUAUCAGGAAGAACACCCGUGGCGAAGGCGGCCUUCUGGCUCGGAACUGACGCUGAGGCACGAAAGCUAGGGUAUCGAAC
rnacentral:rRNA from 1 species